CCCGCUGAACUUAAGCAUAUCAAUAAGCGGAGGAAAAGAAACCAACAGGGAUUGCCCCAGUAACGGCGAGUGAAGCGGCAAGAGCUCAAAUUUGAAAGCUGGCUCCUUCGGGGUCCGCAUUGUAAUUUGUAGAGGAUGCUUCGGGAGCGGUCCCCAUCUAAGUGCCCUGGAACGGGACGUCAUAGAGGGUGAGAAUCCCGUAUGGGAUGGGGUGUCCGCGCCCGUGUGAAGCUCCUUCGACGAGUCGAGUUGUUUGGGAAUGCAGCUCUAAAUGGGUGGUAAAUUUCAUCUAAAGCUAAAUAUUGGCCGGAGACCGAUAGCGCACAAGUAGAGUGAUCGAAAGAUGAAAAGCACUUUGAAAAGAGAGUUAAAAAGCACGUGAAAUUGUUGAAAGGGAAGCGCUUGCGACCAGACUCGCUCGCGGGGUUCAGCCGGCAUUCGUGCCGGUGUACUUCCCCGCGGGCGGGCCAGCGUCGGUUUGGGCGGUCGGUCAAAGGCCCUCGGAAGGUAACGCCCCUAGGGGCGUCUUAUAGCCGAGGGUGCAAUGCGACCUGCCUAGACCGAGGAACGCGCUUCGGCUCGNACGCUGGCAUAAUGGUCGUAAACGCCCCUCUUGAAAAC
rnacentral:rRNA from 1 species